CCAACCAAAACAAACAGCCCCUCAAAAAACCAACGCCUACCUGUCUUUUAGCAUUCUACUGGCCCUUAGCCAGAUAGUUCAAACUAGUUUGGAACAUUUCUUUUGGCAGUAAUACCGGGUUACUCAGCAACUCAACAAACUGAUUUAAAAAGCAAAAACAAACAUCCCUAGAUUAUAAAGAAUCUUUUUGUUCAGAAUUAAUUUUAGCCCAGAUCAGUUCUCAUUUUCAUUGCCUGUUUGCACAAAAUAUUUCUUCUGGCACAGUUAAGUUAGUUGAAUGAAGGAACAAGUGUUAGGGAGGGGAGAGGGUAAAGGACUGUUCCACCAGGAGGAAGUAUUUGUCAAACUGCUAUCCUGGAAUUACUUGAAAGCUACUAUCUUUUGUGCACUCUUUCAAUUGAUUUGACUCCUUAGACUUUAAUGAUAAAGUUUAGUUUUCUGAAAGACAAUUCCUGCAUAUAGGUUAAAUGUUCAAAAUAUUCGAUGUGAUUCUGUAGUUACUUCCCGGAGCUAAGAGAUUCAGAGCUGUUAUCUGAAAAGGAAAGGAAAAAAGAAAACUAGGCAAAAAAAAUAAUUAUUCUAUACAGUUGAAGGCAGUCAGCACUUUUCUGUCUUCAGUCUGUAUUUCCGAAGUAAAUGCCUGACUUGAAAUCUGUUCUCAAAUUCCUGAGCAGAAAUGGCACCUGUUUUCAUUUCCUACUGUUGUGCUGUCUAUCAUGAGUAGUCUGCUUUUGUUAGGGAAAUACCUCUGGCUGCAGUGGGCUGAAUUGCCAUUUUCAGCAGUCACAUUUAAAUUUUCCUUGGAUCUGUACUAAACUGAAAAAUGUCUUGCCCCAUCUUUUCAAUGUAGCAGUGUGAGAACUGAUAUUAUUUUUUCCAAAUGUGAGACAUCAAUUUUUACUUACCACGAUGAAAUCUGCAAAUUUAGACUUUUCCUUGCCAUGAAACAUGCAUUUGAUUAGAAAAUACGGUUUUGACUGUACUGCACUGCUUUCUUCCAGUAAUGUAGACCCUUUGCUUAACUUUAUAACACAGAGAACUUGGUCUUCUUAAAGGAUUGACCUUUUGCUAAGUGCAUUAUUCAGUGAUGUUUCUCUUCAGUCAACCUGUUAUGAGCUGCUGAUAAUGCAAUAAUGUACAAUCCUUUCAGCACGCCCUUAAAUCAGUAGGUGUUCUGUAAGUUUAUAUGUACACGAAUGUAAUGCUCUCUGUUUACUGAUUAUGAAACCAUGUAAUACAGGUUGUUGUUGGCUUAUGCUGAAACUUCUUGAAAGAAGCCCACUUUGAAAAUGUGUUGCUGUUGAAGCUAAUAUUAUGAUUCAGACAGAGGGAAGGGACGCCAGAGGCAAGCUAUUCUGGGAGAGCACCCAUCAUCAUUUAGACAUGAUGGUUAUGGUAAGUAACAUAGGUUGACAGAUGGUUUUGAUUUCUGUACGUGCUAUGUGGAAUUCCAAAUAUUCAAUCAAUGUAUAACUGGACCUCUGAACUGUGAGUAGUUCACUGAUCUGUGCAUGUGGUGCCGUCAGUCCCUGUACAAAAAUUGAUAGCGAUGGAUUGAAAUGCAUAGUGCCUUUUUUUUUUUGCCAUACGUCUUCUUUUUAUGAAGAGCAUCCAGCUCUGCGAAUGUAUUCCUUUGAAGAAUACUUUCUUUUAGUUGCUAUCACCAUAGCAGUGAAAAGAUAAUAACGUAACUACUGGGGAAGCUCUUUUCUUACAGAAAAUGGCAGCAGAGUUUGAUCAGUGGUUUGAUGCAACUCAGAGCCCUUUGAUGUUUUUGCAUGCAAAGCUGUGAAUUGUGGGCUUUGUGUUUCUUCUAAUUUAGCUAAUUCUGAAAAGGUACAGCAGUGUGAUUUGCUAAGGAUGACCUUUUGGAAUUAGUGCUGUAAAGUGGUGCAGUUGUUACCAGGGCUAACUGUAAAUGAAGACCUGCCAUACUGCUCUUUCCCUCAUUAUUGCAUUUUACUGUGGAAAAAUGAGGCAAUAGGCACUUUUUAUACUCUGUGAAUUUCACAAUAUUCAUUUUCUCAGAGGAUCGCGAAUCCUCUCUUCAAUAACACUGAUGUUUUCUGUAAACAAAAGUUAAUGCAUAUCAGUUAAGUCUCUUCAUUUAUUUAA